UACGAAGGGGGCUAGCGUUGCUCGGAAUCACUGGGCGUAAAGCGCACGUAGGCGGAUUUCUAAGUCAGGGGUGAAAUCCUGGAGCUCAACUCCAGAACUGCCUUUGAUGCUGGGAAUCUCGAGUCCGGGAGAGGUGAGUGGAACUGCGAGUGUAGAGGUGAAAUUCGUAGAUAUUCGCAAGAACACCAGUGGCGAAGGCGGCUCACUGGCCCGGUACUGACGCUGAGGUGCGAAAGCGUGGGGAGCAAACAGG
rnacentral:rRNA from 1 species